rnacentral:rRNA from 1 species
UACGAAGGGGGCUAGCGUUGUUCGGAGUUACUGGGCGUAAAGGGCGCGUAGGCGGCGCACCAAGUCAGGCGUGAAAGCCCUGGGCUCAACCCGGGAAUUGCGCUUGAGACUGGUGUGCUUGAGUACGGGAGAGGAUAGUGGAAUUCCCAGUGUAGAGGUGAAAUGCGCAGAUAUCGGGAAGAACACCCGUGGCGAAGGCGGCUCUCUGGGACGGUACUGACGCUGAGACGCGAAAGCGUGGGGAGCGAACAGG